GACGAACGCUGGCGGCGUGCUUAACACAUGCAAGUCGAACGGAAAGGCCCUGCUUGCAGGGUGCUCGAGUGGCGAACGGGUGAGUAACACGUGGGUGAUCUGCCCCUUACUUUGGGAUAAGCCUGGGAAACUGGGUCUAAUACUGGAUAGGACCAUGCUGUAGGUGGUGUGGUGGAAAGAUUAGUUUGGUAAGGGAUGAGCUUGCGGCCUAUCAGCUUGUUGGUGGGGUAAUGGCCUACCAAGGCGUCGACGGGUAGCCGGCCUGAGAGGGUGGACGGCCACAUUGGGACUGAGAUACGGCCCAGACUCCUACGGGAGGCAGCAGUGGGGAAUAUUGCACAAUGGGCGCAAGCCUGAUGCAGCGACGCCGCGUGGGGGAUGACGGCCUUCGGGUUGUAAACUCCUUUCAGCCAUGACGAAGCCCUUGUGGUGACGGUAGUGGUAGAAGAAGCACCGGCUAACUACGUG
rnacentral:rRNA from 1 species